CUCAAAAGUCCACUUACUAGCUAUGCUUGUUCAGAAAAACAAACUCCCUACUUGCUUGGUUGGACUUUUUGACUAGGCUUAAAUCUCUCGUAUUUUUUAGUGCUCUGAUAAGAUGUUUAAAAUUCUUCUGAAACUGCUUCGUAUGUUGCUUCAUUAUGUUGACAAAGGUGAUAAAGUUGUAUAAUAACAGUGGACCUUUAAAGACUUUCCAUACCCAGAUGUGGUAAUAACACCAUUUACACUCCAAUUUGUGCAAGGAACUCACCAUCCUAAGCAGUUGACACGUGCUGUUAAAAUGAGAACUGUGCAGGGAGUUGUCAUAAGAGUAUGUGGUGAUUAUGGCUGAUUGAUGAGUCCAUCCACUUCAGCACUGAUGUUGUGAUUGGCAACAUACCUCUCAAAGUUGGAUGCAAAGUUUUUGCAGUUGUGGAAGAAGAUAAAACAUCUUUUGGACUGAAAGCAAUCAAAGCUGGUCUGGAGUUACUGAGCUCAAGCAAUCCUCCUGUCACUGCCUCCUGAGUACCUGGAAUUAUAGGUAACAUUUCUCUCUUCUUUCACACAGAGCUCAAGCCUCACCAUGUCCAGGUACUGCUUUGAUUUUGUUCCAGUCUAAUGUUUUACUCCUCCUGCAAGUUUAUAAGAGCCAUUUUCAAACGUGAUUUAUAUCCAGCAUCACAAGUUACUUAGAUAUAGUUAUUUUCAUUUUACAAUAUUGAAUUUUGAAAUUAAAAGACACAGACGCCGUGUUUUUAUGUUUGGAACUAAUGCUGUAAAGGCAUUAAACAUGGAUGCACAAUUAACAUACUGGAUGCAGUUGAAUAAUCCACAAAACACAGACAUUAUUUUUAUCAUCAUUUUAUGUCCAUGAUACAUUUGGUAUGUGAAAUAUAUGGACUGGUGUUGAGGAGGUUUGUUUAAAAUAUUUCUGGAACACCUAUGGUAUGAACAAUGUUGGGCAGAGGCUGUUUUUUUCUCUGACAUGAGAAUCAUUUGUCUUAAGAAUCCAUAGAACUGUGACAGGCUAACUGGUGAAAUUGUGGUUGAUCUGCUGGAGAUUCUUUGGGAAUCAUACAAGUUCCUAUUGUUAAGUUUUAUUUUGUUUGAAG
ensembl:lncRNA